GACGAACCGAGCGAACGUUGUUCGGAAUCACUGGGCUUAAAGGGCGCGUAGCGGGCUGCCAAGUUUGGGGUGAAAUCCUCCGGCUCAACCGGAGCAGUGCCUCGAAUACUGGCGGUCUCGAGGGAGGUAGGGGCGUGCGGAACUGUGGGGUGGAGCGGUGAAAUGCGUUGAUAUCCACAGGAACUCCGGUGGCGAAAGCGGCGCACUGGACCAUAACUGACGCUGGAGGCGCGAAAGCGUGGGGAGCAAACAGG
rnacentral:rRNA from 1 species